rnacentral:rRNA from 1 species
GACGAAGGUCCCGAGCGUUACCCGGAUUUACUGGGCGUAAAGGGCCCACAGGCGGGAGCAUAAGUCUUUCCUUAAAUCCUUGAGCCUAACUCAAGGACUGGGAAAGAUACUAUGCUCCUAGAGACUGCCAGGGGCCGGCGGAACGCACGGUGUAGGGGUGAAAUCCGUUGAUAUCGUGCGGAACGCCGAAGGCGAAGGCAGCCGGCUAGGGCAGUUCUGACGCUGAUUGGGCGAAAGCCAGGGGCACGAACCGG